GGAUGUGAUCAUACUAGCACUAAAGCACCGGAUCCCAUUAGAACUCCGAAGUUAAGCGUGCUUGGGCGAGAGUAGUACUAGGAUGGGUGACCUCCUGGGAAGUCCUCGUGUUGCAUUCC
rnacentral:rRNA from 1 species